GCAAAUAGGAAAUUAGAAAAAGAAAGUUCGAGAAAGGUGUCUAGCCACCUGGCUAAGCACAUCCUACUGCCGGGUAGCCCGGUCUUCCAAGCAGACUUUAAUUUGGAAUUUUCUUUGAAAGCUAACCAGUUUUUGUCGAAAUGCUUGCUCCUAUGGAGAACUGGCUCUCUCAGGAAGCAGCCUAAAAUAGCAGGAGGCUGGAUGUAGGACUCAAUCCCAGGACCCGGAGUCAUGACCUGAGCUGAAGGCAGC
rnacentral:lncRNA from 1 species